UUCCAGUCAUUACCUCCGAGCACCGACAGAUGGCGCACUCAGUCAUUUCUCAGAUUCGCUCCUCCAUGCCGCCUGAGAGCGUCUCAAAGCACGCUGAUGUUUGAUCCACGGAACGAGCUCAAUGUAAAGCAUUAUCAGAAAGCCCAGCUUCAACCUCCGCUAUGGUGUAAUGACCUACUCAGGGCUUUAAUGUAAACCUUUCUGCUGGCUUCUCUUCUCUCAGGUUGGGUCAUGCAAAGUACAGCACGAGAGCUUGCCUGCAACGAUCAGGAUCAGUCGAUGUGGAAUCCGAAGCGAGUCCCCGAGACAGAUGAUUGAUAGGCCUCAGCUGCAGAGCUCCCAAUCUGAUCCUCGCAGACGAUAAUGCAUUCUCCUUUUGUCUGCCUAUCACCUAAUGCAGUGGUCGAAGAUGACAGAGCGCUCGCCGCACUUUGCGGAGAGAAAGAAAUGAUAUCUUUUUCAUUGGAGCAAAACCAGAAACUACGAGGAGGGGGAAAAAAUGGAGGGAAAGAUGGAAAAGUUCCCCCGCUUUCUGUCUCCAGAGAAAGAGAGGCCUUAUUAUCCGCCUGCAUUUGCAUGAUGAGAAAACACAGCUCAUAUUCAUCUUAGUAAAGUUGUAAUAAAUGAUUUCAACAGCAUCAUCAUCAAUUUUACGCAGGUGCGCUUGUGAAAAUCACUCACUUCAAUCAAAAGAACCUUAGCUCCCCUGUUAAAGACGGCUCAUUUUUUACUAUCACACGCUAUAACGCUGAAAUUUGGAGGAAAGAGUGAAAGAGCGAGAAGAGAGAGAGAGAGAGAGAGAGGUUGAAGGGAACAGAGAGACGGAUCGUGUUCCGCUGGAUGGCGCUACUGAACAAUUAACAAGACUGACAGCCCAACAGAAAAAGGAUCUUUUGCGAUGCAUGGUUCUAUGACAAUAAUCACGACACAAAAAUGUAACCAAGGCGAGCGUAAACAAACAAUCAAUAAAGAGGACCUGUAAAUAAACCUGAAACGAAGAGAGAGAGAGAGACAGAGAGAUAAAAAGGUAGGGUGAUGUUCUGAGGUCACUCUGAGCUAAAUCGACUACUUCAGCAGAAUUCCCAAAUGCCAAGACAACACCUCAGCCUAUAAUGACCAGAGAUCCUCCCUGUAUGCUUCAAACACCCAGCAGCAGCACAGCUCGGGGAAUUAACAACAGCAUCAUACGCCACGCCGGCUGGAUUUACUCCUUGUUGUGCUCCGCACACCUGCUCCUCAAGAAAGUCUUAAUUGGCAAUUACUGCAGUGCUUUUGUAACACUUGUAUGCCUGAUUGUGUUCAAUCUAAUUUUAAUCAACAAAGGUCAAA